rnacentral:lncRNA from 1 species
GGUUCUUUUCAUCAGCCUGAACCCGAACCUGUCGUUAUGGAUAACUCAGGUUUUUGUCAUCAACUAUAUCAUCUUUUUUACUGUUUUGAAACUCUUAAGAUUAAACUUCAGUAAAGUUGUUUCAGUUAUCCAUGUAAUCAGGCCAAGGAUAUUUAGCAGCUUAUUUAGGCAACUGCCAGAAUUCAGUUUGUUUGCUCGAAACUUGUAUGGUGACAAGGAUACUGGCAAGGAUAGUGAGAUAGUUUUUUGUGUGAGUGAAAUUUGAAAGCUUGGGUGUUCUGGGAUUUGCAAUUGCAAUCAUCCUCUGAGUCAGGUGAUUUCUUCUCCUGCUCUGUCUUGAUUUUCUCUCUAAUUGAAAGCAUAAAGUAUUUCAAUCAAAUUCUGUACCAGGAGUACAUAAAAGUUACUAAUAUUUUAUUUCCAUCUGUUUGCAUUGAUAACUCGGCAUAUGUUCUAGUUAAAGAACAAACAGAAACAGAGUUCAGGAAAAAGUUUCUUCGGCCACCAUAUUUGAAAAUGAAACCAUUUCCAGGAAGCAGUUGGCAGCAAAUUCAUAUGGAGUGUAGACAAUGAUGAGCAAAAAGGUGAUUCGCAAUUUCUUUUUUUUUUAAGUGAAAUUAUUUGUUAGAUUGAAGCUGAUAUUGUAAGAAGGCCAUUGAGCUAACCUAUGUCGUCACUUGCCUAGAUUGCAGGGGGUCAAGACUCAAAAGAAGCACUGAAAUUUAAAAAGCAUGGAAUAGUUCUUUUGCCAUGUGUCAAUUAAUGCAAGUUUGAAUAAGUUUAUUGGCUGAACGAUGUUAGCUUCUUUUCCUUUCGUGCACUUUGGUAUGCUAUCAAGUGACAGCCGUAUGUAUGGCUUGCAUAUAGCUGCUGCUGGGAAAAUUGACGAUUUCAUGGCUGGCCGUGUUAUUGUCUUAAAUUAGUUGUGAUAAGCUGUUGCUUGGAGAUUCUGUUGCCAAGACUUUGCUCACAUCAGAAGCUGUGGAAUCUGAACCCUUCGUUAUGUAUCAUCUUUUUCAUUGUUUUAAAACUCUCAGGAUUAAACUUGAGCGAAUUUGUUCGGUUGUCUAUAUAAUCAUGUAUUGAGUAAACUCUCAGGAUACUGAGGGUGAGAGAAAUUAGAGGGUGUAUAGGGAUUUGGAUUUGUUAGGAAGUUAUCAUUUUUAUUUUUAUUUUUAUUUUUUUCCCAGAAAAUCUUCUGGUGGUGCUAUAUUUUCAAACGACAGUCCGAUUCAAAACUUGAUAUUCCAAUUAUAUUCAUAAGCUUCUACAGUUAUCUUCAAAAAGACAAAUGGAAGGCUUUGAACGGCUUGGGUCUGAGUAUUGUAGUUUGAUUUAUUUUGAUGAAAGUACCUUUUGACAUUGAGAUUCUUUCAUGAGUUAAACAUUCUUUUUAAAACCAACUUAUUAAAAAAAAAAAGUAACUAACAUAUAUUAUUUUGUUAGUGCUUUUUAAAUCAAAUAUAAAAAAGAGAACUGUAAUUCUUAGCAACCAAUUUUUCACUGAGUACACCUACAACAAACUAUUAAAAAAUAAAGUGAUAGAAAAUGCCUGAUUUUUCGUACUUUCUAAUUACUUUUGGUCCUAAAAUAUGGCAAUUUGUGUAAUAAUAAGCCCAUGUAUAUCUUUAUGCCAUUAGUUUGAUAAAUAGCUAUCAAGGAUAACUUAUUAAGCUAAAAAUAUUUGAAGGAUAAAUUGAUUUAUGCAUCCAAAGAUACAUUAUAUAUUUCUGUGUCUCUAUUUAUAGAUGACAUUUAAGCAUCCAUAAACCGUCAGACAGAGGAAGGGGGUUCAGUGCAAAGAUUCUGUUGACCUAGGGUUGACUGCAUAAUGUCACUUGUUCGCAAUCUAUUAUUUAUUUUAUAUUUUGAAGAAUUUAAUGGGUAAUCCUAAUUGUUUGUUUUGGCAGGUAUGUGUUGUUAUCUCCUUCUAUCUAACAGUCGUACCUAAAUAGCAUAGUUUCAUCUGUGUUACCAUGUGAUGUACAUAAUUUCACAUUUGCCUCAGAUUAAGCUUAAUUUCCCACAGAAUAGAGCUGUCGUGACUGGACUUAGGUUGAUGUCCAAAGAGGUAAAUUAUUGGCAUGCCUAGAUAAUUUGGCCAUUUCCUAAUUCAUAAGUCUACAUUAAUUUUGAUUUUGAGUUGACUGAUUUCUUUUCAAGGUCUGCUUCCUUAACGGAGUGACCAAUGUUUUUCAACUAAAUUUAUCAUAUGAUGCAGGAAGCAGGGCAGGAUAUGAAAUGAGAUCUCAUUGGUGGAAGUAUUGCCAGUAGCAGAACCCAAUGAAAAUGAAACUAUUUCAAGGCAGCAGUUGGCAGUUGCAAGUGAAUGGAGGCCCUUGACAAAAUUCUCAAGCGGUUGCAAUGAUGGUAAUUUCUUCUCCUGCUUUGUAUUUAUUUGUUAUCUAAUUAGGAAGCGUGAAGUAUCUUGAAUCAUUUUCUGUAUCUGGAAUAUAUGCAAGAGUUUCUAAAAUUUUGAUAUGAGUGUAAUGAUGGUAAUUUCUGUUUUCUGUCUGUCAUCAAAUGUUAGAAAACUUUCAUUGAGACCCUUGAACCGAGUCAUUUUUGACAAGUGAAGGACAAUUGCUGAAGAGUGGGAAUGGUGCUAGAUUGGGGAAUAAAGACAAAGGAGGUAAAUUAUUUGCAGUUUAUUCAGCAUUAUUUGCUUUGGACCACCGCCUGAUUCACAAGUCUCCAUAAUUUGGCUUUUGACCAGUUAAUAAAUUUUUAAUUCCAUUGGUGCUAAAUGUACACGUGAAGCAGGCAGAGCAGGACUGUGGAAAUGAGAAGGUUUUUAGUGAAAGCUUAAACUCAGGUAAUUCUAAAAAGUACAUGUUUUUGCUGAUUUAUCUAAAUCAGGAAAUUUUAUUUCCAUCUGUUACAAGAUAAAACAGAAACAGAACACAAAGAAAAAUAUUCUACUUCUUGUGGCAAUCUUGCCUUCAUUCAGACAAUGAAACCAUUUCCUUUCACCAAUUUCUUCCAAAAGUUUGAAUAAGUUUCAUGGUUGGACAUAGUUAGCUUCUUUUUCUUUUUGGUGCAUUUAGGUCCUAUCAAGUGACAGCCAUAAGUAUGAUUGCAUUAUUGGGAAAUUUUAGGUUUGGAUGGCUCCCCAUGUUAUUGCCAAGAAAGUCCUCAUGUCAGAAGCUGCGGUUCUUUUCAUCAGCCUGAACCCGAACCUGUCGUUAUGGAUAACUCAGGUUUUUGUCAUCAACUAUAUCAUCUUUUUUACUGUUUUGAAACUCUUAAGAUUAAACUUCAGUAAAGUUGUUUCAGUUAUCCAUGUAAUCAGGCUAAGGAUAUUUAGCAGCUUAUUUAGGCAACUGCCAGAAUUCAGUUUGUUUGCUCGAAACUUGUAUGGUGACAAGGAUACUGGCAAGGAUAGUGAGAUAGUUUUUUGUGUGAGUGAAAUUUGAAAGCUUGGGUGUUCUGGGAUUUGCAAUUGCAAUCAUCCUCUGAGUCAGGUGAUUUCUUCUCCUGCUCUGUCUUGAUUUUCUCUCUAAUUGAAAGCAUAAAGUAUUUCAAUCAAAUUCUGUACCAGGAAUACGUAAAAGUUACUAAUAUUUUAUUUCCAUCUGUUUGCAUUGAUAACUCGGCGGCAUAUGUUCUAGUUAAAGAACAAACAGAAACAGAGUUCAGGAAAAAGUUUCUUCGGCCACCAUAUUUGAAAAUGAAACCAUUUCCAGGAAGCAGUUGGCAGCAAAUUCAUAUGGAGUGUAGACAAUGAUGAGCGAAAAG